GCCUUCUGAGCGCCGUCGGUAGCGCGUCAGUCUCAUAAUCUGAAGGUCCUGAGUUCGAUUCUAAGAGAAGGCA